rnacentral:snRNA from 1 species
GUGCUUGCUUUAGAAGCACAUAUAAAAAAUUGGAAAGAUACAGAGAAGAUUAGCAUGGCCCCUGCACAAGGAUGACACACAAAUUCCAGAAGUGGUCCAUAUUUUA